CCCAAACUGUUUGAUCAAAGAUAACUUUUGCUGGAACCACAACCAGUCAUCGAAAGGAAACAGAGCCUGGAACUCAAAGUGUUUCAGUGCUCCAUGGAAAAAAAGACUCAAAGCAGCAAAACAUAUAAACUAUGAACCACAAGUAUUACCUCUCAAAACUGGUAAUAAUAAUGAGAAAGGGAUCCAUGAAGAGUAAAGCCAACAAGGCCCGAUCUGAACAUACGUGUCCGGUCAAAGUCGAAAAAAAGGCAUUUAGAUUUCACUUCAUUUUAUUUUGAGGACUCCAGCUUUCACUUGGUUUUUGAAAGCUAAUCUGCAUAAAACCUCAAAUUUCCAGGAAAGUACAAAUCAUAAUAAAGACCCCAUUUUUC
rnacentral:lncRNA from 1 species